UGGAUUGGAACGGGUGGGUAUGGGGCAGGCGGACGUGGGCUGAUAGACAUGGGGUAGGUGGACAGGGGACAGAUGGACAUGGGACAGAUGGACACAGCAUGCAUGAAUAUGGAUAGACUGACAUGGGAUGGAUGGAUACAGGGCGGGUGGACACGAGGUGGGAUGACGUGGGACGGGCAGACAUAGGAUGGAAGGGUAUGGAUAGAUGGACGUGGGACAGGUGGACACUGGGUGGAUAUGGGAUGGGCAGACAAGGGGUGGUGGAUGGACAUGGGGUGGACAGAUAUGGGAUGGAUGGAAUAUGGGAUGGGCAGACAUGGGAUGGAUGGACAUGGGAUGGACAGAUAUGGGAUAGGUAGAAAUGGGAUGGAUGGAUAUGGGAUGGAUGGAAUAUGGGAUGGAUGGAUAUGGGAUGGACAGAUAUGGGAUGGAUAGAAAUGGGAUGGAUGGAUAUGGGAUGGAUGGAGAUGGGAUGGAUGGAUAUGGGAUGGACAGACAUGGGAUGGACAGAUAUGGGAUGGAUGGGCAUGGGAUGGACAGAUAUGGGAUGGGUAGAAAUGGAUGGAUAUGGGAUGGAUGGACAUGGGAUGGAUGGAUGGAUAUGAAUGGAUGGGUAGGCAUUGGGUGGACCUGCGAUGGGUGGACAUGGGAUGGAUGGUAUGGGAUGGAUGGAUAUGGGAUGGAUGGGUAUGGGAUGGAUGGACACAGUGGAUGGAUAGAUAUGAAUGGAUGGGUAGACAUUGGGUGGACUUGGGAUCGGUGGACAUGGGAUGGAUGGGUAUGGGAUGGAUGGACAUGGGAUGGAUGGGUAUGGAAUGAUGGAUAUGGGCUUGAUGGAUAUGGGAUGGAUGGACAUGAAAAGCUAACAAGGGCCAGAUGGACGUGGGGGGGUGGCCCAGCACCCCACCUCCCUCCUCGCACCCAUCAGUGCUGCAGUACCCCCACCCAGCACCCACCCGCCCCAUCCCCGCACCCCCCGUGCCCCACAUCCCCCUCCCCACGGCGCCCAUCCAUGCUGGCUUUUCCGGCCCAGCUGUCCCGCGGGGCGCGGGGGCCGGGGCAGGAAUUCGGCCGGGGCUGAGCAGCGCGCGGCAGCUCCGGAGACAGAGCAGCCUCUGAAUGCAGGGAAUGUUUUUGCAGCUGGAGUCCAUUAGGGGAGGGCUCGGCGGCUUUAUUAAUCCCAGCCUUAUUGCUCAAGAGGCGCGGGAGGGCAGGGGGAGCGCGGGGUGCGCGCAGGGGGGAGAGCGGCCGUGAGGGGGGGUGUGGGGGGCAUAAAGAGCAGUGAGUGUGCGAGGAGGGUCUCCCUGACGACGGCCGUCCCUCCGCCGCGGGGCUUUUCUGCACCACGGAGGCUGCCCCUCUGCAGAGGUUUCCCCGCAGUGGAGGUUUCCCCCGUUAUGGAGCCGUCCCCGUGACGGAGGUUUCCCCAUCACUGAGGUUCCCCCACGGUGGGGUUCCCUCUAUGGCAGAGGUUCCCCCGUUCUGGGCACUCCCGCACGGCAGAUGGUGGAAGUAUCCUCCUGGUGAAGGUCUCCCCAAUCGCGGAGGUUCCUCCCUGCUGGAGGUGUCCCCACAGCAGAGGUUUGUCCUACAGUGGAGCUUUCCUCCUUGAUGGAGCCUUCCCCGCUGAUGGACGUUCCCCCAUUAUUGAGGCUCCCCCAGGAUGGAGGCUUCUUCACAGUAGGGUCCCACCGAGAUGGAGGUCCCCCAUCGGUUUCCCCGUGACAGAGGUUUCCCAUAACCGGGGUUCCCCUGUGGUGGAGGUUUCCCCAUUAGGGAUGUUUCCCCGUCACUGAGGUUUCUCUGCAAUGGAGGAUCCCAUUGAUGGAGGGUCCCCUUAACGGAGCUUCCUCCCAUGAUGGAGGCUCCACUGAUGGAGGUUCCCCCAUUGAUAGAGGUUCCCCCAUUGAUGGAGGUACUCCCCAUAAGCGCGGUUCCCACUGACUGAGGUUCCCACUGAUGGAGGUUCCCAUUGAUGGAGGUUCCCACUGAUGGAUGUUCCCCACUGAUGGAGGUUCCCCAUUGAUGGAGGUGCUCCCCAUAAGCGCAGUUCCCACUGACUGAGGUUCCCAUUGGUGGAGGUUCCCAUUGGUGGAGGUUCCCAUUGAUGGAGGUUCCCCACUGAUGGAGGUUCCCACUGAUGGAGGUUCCCACUGAUGAAGGCUCCCAUUGAUGGAGGCUCCCCAGCGCAGCCCCCCACCCUGGCAGGCUAUGGGGCAGAGCAGCACUGGGAGGAGAAGCAGUGGGGCAGCGGGGUCGGGUUUGUGCAGACGUGGAGCUGUGUGUGGGGCUGAGCCCCCCGCGCUGCCCCCCGCCUGCGCUCCCCUUCCUCUGCUUUGAUUUCUCAUUUCUCUUUUCUUGUUUCUUUUUAUGAUUUUUCCUUUCUUUUUUUUCUUUUUCUUUGUUUCAUUUCCCCCCUUUUCCUCUUUCUUUUUAUUUAUUCUUUUUCCUCUCUUUUCCUUUUUCUCAUUUCUUUUGGCUUUUCCUUCUUUUCCUUUUUCUUCCUCAUUUUUCCUUUUGUUGCUUUUUCUUUUCAUCUUUUUUCCUUUUUUUCCUUUCUUUCCUUUUUUCUUUUCUCACAUUUUUUAGUUAUUUUCCUCUAUUUUUUCUGGUUUCUUCUUUCCUUUGAUUUUAUUUUUAUUUUUCUCUCCUUUUUUCCCAAUUUUCUCUCCGUUUUUCUUUUUCCCAAUUUUUCU
ensembl:lncRNA